AUCUUUUCAUUCAUAUUAUUUAUGUGUCUAUGAAUUGUCCAAGAAAUUAAUAAGAUGAUGAUACAUAUUCUCAAGAGUUGAGAAUUUGAGCCAUGUAUCAUUGAUGAUUAAUUUAUAAAUGCUCCUGAUCAAUGGAUCAUCAUGAGGACGGUGAUCGAUCCGAUCAGUGCACAGAUCGCUUUCUUUAUGGAUGGACGAGACUCGAGUCUACAGUGUAAGGACACUAAAGUGAUAGUGCAGGUGCUUGUUAGAGAACAAGGGUACUGAGCGUGACCAAGACAAGAAGUCACUUGGAUGUCUAUCCACUCGUCAGUGACUUACUUGAUGUU
rnacentral:lncRNA from 1 species